rnacentral:rRNA from 1 species
UACGUAGGGGGCAAGCGUUGUCCGGAUUUAUUGGGCGUAAAGAACGUGUAGGCGGUUUGGUAGGUCCGUUGUGAAAACUCGAGGCUCAACCUCGAGACGCCGAUGGAAACCAUCAGACUAGAGUCCGGAAGAGGAGAGUGGAAUUCCUGGUGUAGCGGUGAAAUGCGCAGAUAUCAGGAAGAACACCCGUGGCUAAGGCGGCUCUCUAGUACGGUACUGACGCUGAGACGCGAAAGCGUGGGGAGCGAUCCGGG